rnacentral:rRNA from 1 species
GUGGGGAAUAUUGCGCAAUGGGGGAAACCCUGACGCAGCGACGCCGCGUGAGCGAAGAAGGCCUUAGGGUUGUAAAGCUCUGUUUUAAGGGACGAAUGUCGUGGGGAGUAAUAUGCUCUGCGAAUGACGGUACCUUAAGAGGAAGCCCCGGCUAACUACGUGCCAGCAGCCGCGGUAAGACGUAGGGGGCGAGCGUUGUCCGGAAUUACUGGGCGUAAAGAGCACGUAGGCGGGAACUUAAGUCAGGUGUGAAAGACCGGGGCUCAACUCCGGGGUUGAACUUGAAACUGGGUUUCUUGAGGGCAGGAGAGGAAAGCAGAAUUCCUGGUGUAGCGGUGAAAUGCGUAGAAAUCAGGAGGAAUACCAGUGGCGAAGGCGGCUUUCUGGACUGACCCUGACGCUGAGGUGCGAAAGCGUGGGUAGCAAACAGGAUUAGAAACCCGAGUAGUCC